UAGAUCGGAAGUGAGAAUGUUGACAUGAGUAGCGAUAAAGAGGGUGAGAGACCCUCUCGCCGAAAGUCCAAGGGUUCCUGCUUAAAGCUAAUCUGAGCAGGGUAAGCCGGCCCCUAAGGCGAGGCCGAAAGGCGUAGUCGAUGGGAACCACGUUAAUAUUCGUGGGCCAGGAGAUGGUGACGGAUUGCAGAGGUAGUUCUUCCUUAUUGGAUUGGAAGGGCUGCUGAGUGGUCCCUGGAAAUAGCCCUCCAAAGACCGUACCCUAAACCGACACAGGUGGACUGGUAGAGAAUACCAAGGCGCUUGAGAGAACCACAUUUAAGGAACUCGGCAAAAUGCCUCCGUAAGUUCGCGAGAAGGAGGCCCCGUUGGUACGCAAGUAUCGGCGGGGGGCACAAACUAGGGGGUGGCGACUGUUUACUAAAAACACAGGGCUCUGCGAAGUCGUAAGACGACGUAUAGGGUCUGACGCCUGCCCGGUGCUGGAAGGUUAAAAGGAGAGGUGCAAGCUUUGAAUUGAAGCCCCAGUAAACGGCGGCCGUAACUAUAACGGUCCUAAGGUAGCGAAAUUCCUUGUCGGGUAAGUUCCGACCUGCACGAAUGGCGUAACGACUUCCCCGCUGUCUCAAAUGUGGACUCAGCGAAAUUGAACUGUCUGUCAAGAUGCAGACUUCCCGCGGUUAGACGGAAAGACCCCAUGCACCUUUACUCUAGCUUCGCACUGGCAUCAGGAUUGCGAUGUGCAGGAUAGGUGGUAGGCUUUGAAGCGGGAACGCUAGUUUCCGUGGAGCCAUCCUUGAGAUACCACCCUUCGCACUCUUGAUGUCUAACCGCGGCCCGUUAUCCGGGUCCGGGACCCUGCGUGGUGGGGAGUUUGACUGGGGCGGUCGCCUCCCAAAGUGUAACGGAGGCGCGCGAAGGUUGGCUCAGACCGGUCGGAAAUCGGUCGUUGAGUGCAAUGGCAUAAGCCAGCCUGACUGUAAGACUGACACGUCGAACAGAGACGAAAGUCGGCCAUAGUGAUCCGGUGGUCCCAAGUGGGAGGGCCAUCGCUCAACGGAUAAAAGGUACGCUGGGGAUAACAGGCUGAUGAUGCCCAAGAGUCCAUAUCGACGGCAUCGUUUGGCACCUCGAUGUCGGCUCAUCUCAUCCUGGGGCUGGAGCAGGUCCCAAGGGUAUGGCUGUUCGCCAUUUAAAGAGGUACGUGAGCUGGGUUUAGAACGUCGUGAGACAGUUCGGUCCCUAUCUGCCGUGGGUGUAGGAGACUUGAGAAGAGUUGCCCCUAGUACGAGAGGACCGGGGUGAACGGACCACUGGUGGACCAGUUAUCGUGCCAACGGUAGUGCUGGGUAGCUAUGUUCGGACAGGAUAACCGCUGAAGGCAUCUAAGCGGGAAGCCCCCUUCAAAACAAGGUCUCCCUUGAGAGCCGUGGAAGACCACCACGUCGAUAGGCCAGAGGUGUAAGAGCAGCAAUGCUUUCAGCUGACUGAUACUAAUUGCUU
rnacentral:rRNA from 1 species